ensembl:lncRNA
UUCUGAUAAGUUCCAGAUAUUUAGUUUAUCUUUAAAUGUUAAAAAAUCUACAUUUUAUUGUGUUCACUAGUAAGAAUGAGAAAUGAUGUGUUACAUAAUUAAAACAUAAUAAUAAUAAAAGAGUGAAUCUGAAUGUUUGGGAAUGAAAUGGAUCCCCUGGAUUCCUCUGAGUUGUAACAGUUAUCCUGGAACCAUCACAUUCAAUAUGUCUGCAGCAAAGUGACGAAAUGUGUUGGUAUCAGGGGGUUGGCAUCAGGGGGUUGGCAUCAGGGGGGUUGGCAUCAGGGGUUGGCAUCAGGGGGUUGGCAUCAGGGGGUUGGUUCAUCAGGCUUCUUAACUCUAUAUUAGAGCUUCAUUUACCCAGAUCUCAGUCACUGUAAUAUUGUCUGUGCAUAUGCCUCCUACCUACACCCUCAUUAUACAAAAUACAUUUACAAGACAACCCACCUCCUCUCUAAUUACCUGGCUCCACCUGCACCUUUGUUUAAGAAACUCAAUAUUCUGUCUACUUAGGACAUUAAUGUACACCAAUUCGUACAAAUACUCAUACCUCGAAGACAGUUUACCUACACCCUUCAAUGGAUUCUUCUAGGUCCCAGUUUACCUAAACCCUUCAAUGGAUUCUUCAGGUCCCAGACAGUUUACCUAAACCCUUCAAUGGAUUCUUCUAGGUCCCAGUUUACCUAAACCCUUCAAUGGAUUCUUCUAGGUCCCAGUUUACCUACACCCUUCAAUGGAUUCUUCUAGGUCCCAGUUUACCUAAACCCUUCAAUGGAUUCUACCAGGUCCCAGACAGUUCACCUACACCCUUCAAUGGAUUCUUCUAGGUCCCAGUUUACCUAAACCCUUCAAUGGAUUCUUCUAGGUCCCAGUUUACCUACACCCUUCAAUGGAUUCUACCAGGUCCCAGUUUACCUAAACCCUUCAAUGGAUUCUACCAGGUCCCAGUUCACCUAAACCCUUCAAUGGAUUCUUCUAGGUCCCAGUUUUCCUACACCCUUCAAUGGAUUCUUCUAGGUCCCAGUUCACCUAAACCCUUCAAUGGAUUCUUCUAGGUCCCAGUUCACCUAAACCCUUCAAUGGAUUCUACCAGGUCCCAGUUCACCUACACCCUUCAAUGGAUUCUUCUAGGUCCCAGUUUACCUAAACCCUUCAAUGGAUUCUUCUAGGUCCCAGUUUACCUAAACACUUCAAUGGAUUCUUCUAGGUCCCAGUUUACCUAAACCCUUCAAUGGAUUCUACCAGGUCCCAGACAGUUCACCUACACCCUUCAAUGGAUUCUUCUAGGUCCCAGUUUCCCUAAACCCUUCAAUGGAUUCUUCUAGGUCCCAGUUUACCUAAACCCUUCAAUGGAUUCUACCAGGUCCCAGUUUACCUACACCCUUCAAUGGAUUCUACCAGGUCCCAGUUUACCUAAACCCUUCAAUGGAUUCUACCAGGUCCCAGUUCACCUAAACCCUUCAAUGGAUUCUUCUAGGUCCCAG